GAUGAAGAACGCAGCGAAAUGCGAUAAGUAAUGUGAAUUACAGAAUUCAGUGAAUCAUCGAAUCUUUGAACGCACAUUGCGCCCAUUAGUAUUCUAGUGGGCAUGCCUGUUCGAGCGUCAUUUCAACCCUUAAGCCUAGCUUAGUAUUGGGAAUCGACUUUACUGUCGUUCCUCAAAUUCAACGGCGGAUUUAUAGCAAUCUCUGAACGUAGUAAUUUUUUUUCUCGUUUUUGAAAUACUAUAAACCUCAGCCGCUAAACCCCCAAUUUCUUAUGGUUGACCUCGGAUCAGGUAGGAAUACCCGCUGAACUUAAGCAUAUCAAUAAGCGGAGGA
rnacentral:misc_RNA from 1 species